AUCGCUUCUCUGCCUUUUGGCUAAGAUCAAGUGUUGUAUAUCCCUUAUAUUCAGAUUAAUUUUAUAUACUUGUAAGAAUUAUUGAUCAUAAGCAAAUUCAGAAAAAUAAUUCACUUGCA
rnacentral:snRNA from 1 species